rnacentral:tRNA from 3 species
GUCUCCGUAGCUCAGCUGGUUAGAGCAUCUGACUGUUAAUCAGAGGGUCGUUGGUUCGAGUCCAACCGGGGACGCCA